CUUUACUGCAUCUUAACUCGGGUGCUGUCAAAAUUCGUAAUCUCAUCCGCAACUUGGAUAAGACCACCCUGUCUAAUUCAUGUCUCGUAGGAGCUGUCGCCUGGCGUCCACAGGGUACUACAACUCGGAUGAUGAAUCCGACUCGAGUACCGUCACUAACAUUUCCUACCGUGAGCACUCCGUCAAGGUAUUCAAGAAGAAGGUCGGGGCCCGCAAGGCUACGACUCGUGCCACCAGAGCCAACAACAGCAUGGCCAGCCCAAGCAGUAUACAAUCCCCUUCCACCACAGCAGUCCGCCGACCUUCCUUAAGCACCCAGACGGAUGUGACCAUGGGGAAUGUGACCUACGCCACCCCUAGGGUAACCGCAAGACCCUCCCUGAACGCUGCAUCUUCUACCACAAGCCAGACUGCCACCCGCUCCCCGCCUCUGCCGCCUCCAGAAAGGUUCCGCAGCACCGCCCAGGCUGUCGUAUACCUUCGACCGGACCACCAAAAGGAGCAGGAGAAGAACAGCAUAGACAGUUCCGGGUACUCCUCCUCUGAAGGCAUCAGCCUCAAACCACCAACACCUACCACGACCACUAAGACAACUACUACAAGCAAUAGUGCUAGCGUCAGCAAAGUCAAAAGUACCACUGUGGCUCCCCGUGUUGAAUACAGACAGCGGAUCAAAAACACCCUCUGUGGUGUUAAGGUGUCAUUAUCAACAUUGACUGCAAAGGCAAAGCAGCUGACCACUUUAGCGAACGGAUCAUUAAACAGUGCCAAAACAAGAAAAACUUGCAUUGCCAUCAUCCUCAUCUUUCUUGUAGCUGCCUGUGUUAAGUUCCUCCCUCCCUUGUUGCCCCCUCUGUUCACCCUUUCGGAUGCCACAAAGCUCCACAUUGUUAGGUUUUUGGCUUGGCAAUCUGACAUGGAGUGCACGGGAAACAAUGAGGUAGACGGGAGCUGGUGCAAAGUCAAGGACACAUUGCCUACUGAUAUGGAAGCAAAGAUGCAGCAUCUUCUGGAAGAUCUGCAACAGAAACAGGAGCUCCUCUACAAGAUCAAGGAGCAAUUCGAGGUUGACUUGCAGACCAUGAGAGAUGACGUGAAGGUGGUGGAGUCCAAUAGUGGGCUGCAUCUUGACCGGGAGGUCAUGGUACUGGGCAAGAAAAUGGACGAUCAGAAACGAGAUUUUCACGAAUCUCUCUCGGGUCUCGGCGGCAGAAUGAAAGCCAUAGAGACCCAGAUUGCUGAGUUAUCCAAGGAACUGCUGUCCAUCCAGUCUCAACCUAAUGCGAUGCCUUGUCCGGACAUCCCGGUCCAAAAACAUCUCACGCCAGAACUCCAGCAGGCCAUGGAGAAGUGGCUCAGUGAUCGCAUCCGGGCGCAGAAUGCAGUCAGCCUACGAAACAAAGGAAUGUCUUCUUCAUGCGCGCAGCCCAUUGCUAACGAAAUGGCUGACUUUGCACUGGAGACUCAAGGUGCCAGUGUGAUCAGCACCCGCUGUUCUGAAACCUAUCGCACCCGCUCAGCAUGUCUCAUUUUGUUUGGAAUCCCUUUGUGGUACCCGACAGAGAGCCCCCGCACCGUCAUCCGGGGCGAUACAACUCUGCUUCCAGGAAAAUGUUGGGCCUUUCACGGUGCCCACGGGUCCCUUGUCAUCGCCUUGUCUCACCCUAUUAGGAUAACCCAUGUGACAAUUGACCACGUGCCGCGUCAAAACACCCCCACGGGUCGUAUCGACUCUGCACCCAAGGAGUUCGCGGUCUAUGGGAUGAAGGACGAGGUAGAGGAUGGAACACUUCUGGGAUCGUUCAUGUACGACGAGGAUGGCGAGCCCACGCAGACAUUUGAGCUGCCCCCAAGUGACGAGAUCUACCGUGUGGUGGAGCUUCGCGUCAUUAGCAACUGGGGUCAAGUGGAGUACACGUGCCUCUACCGUUUCCGAGUACACGGCGCCAUGGCAACGGCUACAUGAUGGAGUGGUGAGCCCCACCACUUCAGGCUGCACUGAUGCUUCUUUGAAAAGACGAUGGCCGUCCAAUGAAAAGCAUGACAUUUAUGUCCAUCCUCCGAGGAAACAUAACCGGGGUACAAAAGGAAGUGUUGAGGCGCCAGCGGUGUGCUGAAACGUCCGUCCCCUGAAGACGGCGACCCCAGCAACGGGAUCAACUUAGCGUGGGCGUAAUCAAUCUCAAAUCCUUCAAAGAUAAGUCCCACACCCCAUGCCUCCAAACUCUUUUUCAGAAGAUGAGACACUUUACGGGCGGCCAGCACCAGCCCCUCAUAGUCGCUAUCUCCGAGUUUGAAUAUGUCUGAGGGCAAAGGACGGCGUGGGACUAGCACGGUGAAGCCAGGUGAGUUGGGAAAUGGGGUGAGGAAUGAAACGUGGUUCUCGUCCUCCCAAAGCCGCCACUGCGACUCUUCACCACGGAUGAUGCGCGGAAAGAGACCCGGGUCAGAUUGGUCUUCACCCAGAAACGUCAGGUUAGGCGACGCAUUCGGGUUAGGGAGCUCCAUGCGAAUCUUGGUCUGGAUUUCAUUAAGGCGGGUGUCGCUCCAACGAGGCGCUGUCUUGGAGGUGCAGUAUCCCGGAUCGUG